CAACUCGACUCCAUGAAGUCGGAAUCGCUAGUAAUCGCAAAUCAGAAUGUUGCGGUGAAUACGUUCCCGGGCCUUGUACACACCGCCCGUCACACCAUGGGAGUGGGUUGCUCCAGAAGUAGAUAGCUUAACCUUCGGGAGAGCGUUUACCACGGAGUGAUUCAUGACUGGGGUGAAGUCGUAACAAGGUAGCCCUAGGGGAACCUGGGGCUGGAUCACCUCCUUAAACGA
rnacentral:rRNA from 1 species